rnacentral:lncRNA from 12 species
UACAGUAUGCACUUACAGAUGGAUACCUUAUUUCUUAAAUUUUACUCAGACUCCAGCAGCAGGAGCUCCCAUGAUUCCCCAGCCUGUGAUGAUGGGUCAGUCCAUGAUGAGACCACCAUUUACUGGGCCAGCAGCAACAGGAACACCUGGAGCACCAUUGUCUCCAGGGCCAGCUGCUCAGAGCCCCAAAAAACCUCCCACCAAGGACCCACUUGCAGAUCUCAACAUCAAGGACUUCUUUUAAGUUCCCAGUACUUGUUUUCUGGAAAAAAAAGACUGAGCUCCAGUGAGAGAAGUCUGCUGUCUGUUUACACCCCCAGACACCUGAGGAGUUAGACACCUGAGGAGCUGCAGCUUGAUAUCCACUGACCCCACCCCCAACCCAAACCCCGCCCACUCUGCCCCUCCCAGCCUUCCUGUGUCAUGUUGUAGCACAAACCGUGAAGUGAAUCAUAGAGAAAACAAGCCGAAAAAUGAAGAUGUGCAUAUUUCGAUGUUAUCCCUUGUUUUGAAUGAAACAGAAUAAAAUUAAGAAAAACACACAAAUGAAAAUGAAGAAUUAAAAAAAGAUGCAAAUGCCGUAUGUCUUUUCCAGUGUUUAAGUCUGAAAUGAAUGAUGUGUGUAUGUUGAUCCCCUCAACUUCUGGUUCCUCUAGGACUUCCCUUUUGGGGUCAGAGGUCCUAAACAGGUUGUUGAAGCACUUUCUGUUGUAUGUUAGUUUUGGAGCAGUGUGCAAUGUUUCAUUCGCAGAAGGUACUCUGUGUAUUGACCAAAAAAGGUCUCUCCUCUGCUCAAAUUUUUAUCUGUGGAUGACUUAUUGAUGUGAACCUGGUACUCGGAUUAUAAGACAUGCAAUACAUCAUUGAUUGACGUGUUUGUUUACAAAUAAUAAAUAUAUGAAUUCUAAAUAUAUAUGAAUUAUGUAUAAAUUAAUAACAUGUCCAUUCUCCUCUACUCUAGAUGACCUUCUUGGUGAUUAAAUGUCAUUUUAGUAUUUUAACUGGUAUUUAUUUUUCAGAUAUAUAUGUAUUUUUUGAUUCUUUAGUUUGAAUUUUGUUUGAAUUUAAAUGUCACGGUUUUUCAUACUCUCUUUGGACUUCCCCAAGCAAAUUACCUCAGCGAAUUUGGACUUCAAUUCACUUAAUCUCAGCGCUUCUCUAAGAAAAGCCUUUUGCAGUAUCUUAAAAUAACAAAUGUACAGCGACUUGUUAAACUGGUGAUGUUUCCCCCCAAAAAGCCCCAAAGAUUUCACAGUUGUAGUCAGUGGAAUGCUGUGUUUGAGUCUCAUAGUUACUUGUGCUUGUAUGACAUCCAAAUUGAACCUGGUACAUGUAGUGUUAUUUUGUAUAAUUGUAGAAGUACCCAUUCAUGUUUAGUUCUCAGUCUUUCCUGCUCAUACUAUAUUAUGAACCCUGACCCUUGUUUGUUACAUGUAACGGUUGAUUCAUGCUUCCUUUUUUGGUAAGUGGUGGUACUGUAGAUUGCACAGCUAAAUAGAGUGUGGAGGAGAUCAGUUGGAGGAAAAUACCUGAUUUCAUAGAAAACAGAGUGUAGGUUCAUUAACAGAGAUAGACUUCGAUCUGUACAAGUUUUCAGGAGGUCACUGUUAAACAGUGUUACAGAAAGCUCUGAUUGACAACCCUGUAUGGCCGAGCCUCUGUAACUCAAUCUCCCUGUUAGAUCUCUCGUGAAAACGACAAAAGCAGAUCUUUGGAUGUCUCUUUUGCAAUUCUCUUAAAAUAAAUUUUAUUUUGAUUUAUUGAUUCAUAUUUGACAGCCCUACAUAGUGCAUGUAAGCCCUUUUGAGAUGCAAUAAACACUGAUGGGAAGAAUUGCCCACCUGUGUCCCCCUGUGUCUGUUUUCACAAGGUUGUAUAUCAACACAUGAUAAUUAAAAAAGAGACUAUAGUAUUUUUCAGUCACUUUUAAGCUGCAAAGUGUAGGGUAUAAGUUUCUGGUUAAAAAAACAUUCAAUAUAAUAAAUU